rnacentral:ncRNA from 1 species
AAAUAUUUGAGGGGGAGCUCCUAUAAAGGGGCUGAGAAAGGGCUUAAUAGCACCUGACCCUUAAACCUGAUCAGGGUAAUGCCUGCGGAGGGAAUUUUAGGAAUGUUACAU